ACUUCAUUGAGUAAGACUAGUUUUAUAAAACCUUCAUACUUACUUCUGGUCUUGAGGUUAGCUUUUCCUCCAUUUGUUUGCUAAAUUUAUGCUACACACAAGAGUGAAUAUGUGGCAGAAUGUAGAGUUGUCGGUGGCUGUAGGCUCAGUGGAAGUGAGAGAGCCUGCACAGGUCUUUAAUUAGCUGGUGGUAGGGGGUGAGGGCGGCCUUCCUCUUCAAAUGCUAUAUGAGUGUUUGUUUGUGGCCUCCUAUUCAAAAAGUCAAUAUUGUUUUAGCUCUAAAUCUGGUGCAGUACCUAAACAGAUUAUCAUGCUACAGUCUAUUGAAUUUUUGUAAAAUUAUGAACUAUAAAUGUUCUUGCAUGUUAUGAAAACUGGUAGAAAAUGGUUCUGAAUACCUACUUACUAUUUUUCCCACCUUUUACACUCAUAAAUGUAUUUCUGCAAUAAAGGAUUAUAUUGAUGCCGUUUCUGAAGGCACAAAGUCUAAUUUUAGGCUGUCAUAACCUUAUAUACAUCCUUUGUUUAUAAUCAGGCUGUAUGAGUGUUACUGUUAGUGAGUGGACUGAUGGUCGGUGGAGCAGAAGAGUGGAGACCACGUACCGGCAAGCGCACUGUUUGGCGGCCCCACGCGAGAUGGACAGAUAAUAUAGUCAAGUCCACGGGGAAGCACUGGAUGCGGGCCGCCUCCGAUCGGACAAGGUGGAAAUCAUUGGGGGAGGCCUAUGUUCAGCAGUGGACGUCCUAUGGCUGAGAUGAUGAUGACGAUGAUGAGUGUUAAGUCAAAUCUCAUAUUUCACUGGCAACAUUUCUAGUUUUACAUAGCUAAAAUUAAAUUUUGUGCCUUCAGAAUAUAUUUCAUUAUACUACUUAGUUAGAAGUCAUUAAUUGCUAUUUGAAUAUAUUUCUCAUGUUUUAGUUGUACGAAACCACACUAUAAGAUGGAGGAUGGCAUGGACAUAGAGGAACAUGAUCUGUUGAACGACCCUACUGUGAGGAGUGUGUUUCCAGAUCUUGCCGUUCUCAAACAAGAAAUAAUUGAUUUUGAUACAAAUGAAAGUGUAGCACCAGAAACAUUUACAACCCUGGAAGUACCAAAGAGAAAUAAAUACAAAAAUCAACUACACAAUUUAACGGUCUACAGUAGGGAUCAUCCUACCGAGUGCUCCACUCAAGACCUGGAUGUGAAACCUGACCACCUGUGUACUGACAUGGAUGACACAAUAACUGUCAAGCGCAACAGUUUGACAGAAUUUCAUGAAGUUGAAACUGAAAUCAAGAAGGAAUCAGAGAAUGUUUUACCAAAUGAAUUGCCAUUUUACAGAAACAGAAUUAUACUAGGCAAGAUACAAGUAGAUGAGUCUGACGAAGAACGAGAAACUGAUGCACCAGGUGACUGUAAUAAUGUUGAAAACAACAAAACAAACAAUGAUCAAGAUUUGGCAGUGUCAAUAUACACUGAUGAAAAUAGAAGCAUGAGGAUAACUAAACAGAAUUAUGAAAAAAUGAAAAAAUGUUUGCGAGCGAAAAUUAUUUUAACAAACUGUUAUACAACUCUAUUGAACAACAACUGUUACUGUGCUCAGUGUGCAGUGUUGUUCCCCACCACUGAAGCGUAUAGUGAACAUUACACGAGCACACACACCGAGACCACUCACUCAACUAAAGCCUCGGCUUCUCUUGUGAAACGUAAACAAAUCAUAUACCCACGUGAGAAAGCAUUUGUGUGUGACACCUGCACGAAAACAUUCAGCAAAAAAACCAGCUUGAUAAAGCACAUUUUAAUUCACACUGGCGAAAAGCCAUUCGAGUGUGACAUUUGCAUGAAAACAUUUAACCAAAGAUUUAAUUUGAAGAUCCACAAGUUAGUUCACACUGGCGAAAAGCCGUUCGAGUGUGACAUUUGCAAGAAAACAUUUAAAAGAAUAAGUAAUUUGAAGGCACACAAGUUAAUUCACACUGGCGAAAAACCAUUCGAAUGUGACAUUUGCACGAAAACAUUUACCCAAAGAUUUCAUUUGAAAACCCACAAGUUAGUUCACACUGGCGAAAAGCCGUUCGAGUGUGACAUUUGCAAGAAAACAUUUAAAAGAAUAAGUUAUUUGAAGGCACACAAGUUAAUUCACACUGGCGAAAAAUCUUUCGAUUGUGACAUUUGCACGAAAAUAUUUACCCGAAGAAGUAAUUUAAAGAGCCACAGGUUACUUCACACUGGAGAAAAGCCGUUCCAGUGUGACAUUUGCACUAAAACAUUUGCACAAAAAAAUCAUUUGAAGCACCACAAGUUCGUUCACACUGGUGAAAAGCCAUUCAAGUGUGACAUUUGCAAGAAAACAUUUAAAAAUAUAAGAAAUUUAAAGGCACACAAGUUACUUCACUCUGGCGAAAAGCCAUUCCAUUGUGACAUUUGCAAGAACAUAUUUAGGCGAUGGUCCACAUUGAAAUCUCACAAAUUACUACACACUGGCGAAAAGCCAUUCCAGUGUGACACUUGCCCGAAAUCUUUUAACCGAAGAGAUACUCUUAAGAAGCAUAAGUUACUUCACACUGCAGCACAGCCAUAUGAUUCUGAUGCGUCGGAAAAAAUGAGAAAUCCGGGAAACAUGAGGAAACAUAGUACAUGACACGGCGUGAAACAGCGGGAUGUCAGUGAGUGUCAGUGGGGCGCGCUGCGGGCGAGGGCUCGGCCUCCGCCUGUCCCCUCACUGCAGGCAGCGCCGGCGACGCACAGGCUGCGUUGUCGACACGCUCUCCUACACCCACAUACAAGCGACUCCACCUACACUAACCACCUCAGUUGCAAUUCUGACAUCGGCGCGGACGGUCGCUUUCUAGCGGCGCCGUCUGUAGCCGUCACGUGUGACUCACUACUGAGUGACCCGGCUGCUCAAGGACAGCGUCCUGUUGUACACCGAGAUGCCUGAAAUCCCGGCUCAAUUGGAAGCCUCGGAACAGUAUAAAAUGUCAUUAAUCGCUAGGUUAAAAAAUCUAAAUGGUUCUUUAUUUUUAAUAAACAUUAUUAUGGCAUAA